UAAUAAUAAUUCAAAAUGAUUAUCAAUACCAAAAAGAACUUUCCCCCCACAUAUAUUUCGUUCUUAUGUAUUGGUCAUUUUCAUAAUCCCCUUUUAUAUGCCCGUAAAAGACUAACGUUGGAGACGACGUUCAAAUAAAGUAGUAAACCUUUAGACACUUGAGGUUUACUACUUUU
rnacentral:ncRNA from 1 species